rnacentral:rRNA from 1 species
AGCGAACGUUUGCGGCGGGCCUAACACAUGCAAGUCGAACGGGCUAGCAAUAGUCAGUGGCGCACGGGUGCGUAACACGUGGGUAAUCAACCCUUCAGCUCGGGAUAACGCCUUGAAAGGGGCGCUAAUACCGGAUGCGACGCGAGGAGCCUCGGCGCUUCGCGGGAAAGAUUCGCAAGGAUCACUGAAGGACGAGCCUGCGGCCCAUCAGCUAGUUGGUGAGGUAAGAGCUCACCAAGGCGAAGACGGGUAGCUGGUCUGAGAGGAUGACCAGUCACACCGGAACUGAGACACGGUCCGGACUCCUACGGGAGGCAGCAGUGGGGAAUAUUGGACAAUGGGCGCAAGCCUGAUCCAGCCAUGCCGCGUGGGUGAAGAAGGCCUCGG